GCCCAGGUGGUGAAAUUGGUAGACAUACCGUCUUCAGACGGCGGCGCCGUUAAACGCAUCGGGGUUCGAGUCCCCGCCUGGGCACCA
rnacentral:tRNA from 1 species